ACGGAAGGCAGCAGUGAGGAAUAUUGGUCAAUGGGCGAGAGCCUGAACCAGCCAAGUAGCGUGCAGGAUGACGGCCCUAUGGGUUGUAAACUGCUUUUGUGCGGGAAUAACGUGCUCCACGUGUGGGGCAGUGCAUGUACCGUACGAAUAAGGAUCGGCUAACUCCGUGCCAGCAGCCGCGGUAAUACGGAGGAUCCGAGCGUUAUCCGGAUUUAUUGGGUUUAAAGGGAGCGUAGGCGGGAAGUCAAGUCAGCUGUGAAAUGUAGACGCUCAACGUCCGCACUGCAGUUGAAACUGGUUUUCUUGAGUGCGUAAGAGGCAGGCGGAAUUCGUCGUGUAGCGGUGAAAUGCUUAGAUAUGACGAAGAACUCCUAUUGCGAAGGCAGCUUGCUGGGCCGCAACUGACGCUGAAGCUCGAAGGUGCGGGUAUCGAACAGGAUUAGAUACCCUGGUA
rnacentral:rRNA from 1 species